rnacentral:rRNA from 1 species
UACGUAGGGGGCAAGCGUUGUUCGGAAUUACUGGGCGUAAAGGGCGCGUAGGCGGCACAGCAAGUCGGGAGUGAAAGCCCGGGGCUCAACCCCGGAAUGGCUUUCGAAACUGCUGAGCUAGAGUACAGAAGGGGCAACCGGAAUUCCCAGUGUAGCGGUGAAAUGCGUAGAUAUUGGGAAGAACACCUGAGGCGAAGGCGGGUUGCCGGGCUGAUACUGACGCUGAGGCGCGAAAGCCAGGGGAGCAAACGGG